ACGUUAUCCUGGUACAGGUGUGGGUUCUCUCCAGGUACUCUGGCUUCCUCCCAUAGUUCAAAAACAUUACUGUCAGGCCCCACAAGAGCCCCAGUGUGACAAGUUUACAUAGACCAUCUGCAGACCUCCCUACAGCCAUAAAAACACUAAUCACAAGGUCAUAAAAAGUGACUCCAUAACGACACCCAGAAUGCAGCGACUGGACUCAGUGUUGCAGACGCCAGCUUAAAGAAAAGACACAAGAGAGCGAUUGACAGACAACCACCGUGGAGCUAAAAUUUAUUACAUCAACAAGCUGCCCAAUAUGAGAAAUCAAACAUUGAGGGAUGUUAUCGCGGUGAAAUCAUUGCAUACCACCCACCUUGUUCUCAUGCACAUCGGGAGGGAGUCCGUGUAAGAGACGAAAAGAGAAGAAGGAGAGGUUUUAUGAUGAAUUGUCUGGGGCAAGCGAGGCUUGGCUCAUCACUUGGCCCCCGAACUCAGUGGGCCAGUGAGCGGGCACUUGUCAUCUGGAGUGCGAGGCAGCUGGGGUUAUCCUCAGAGACACAGCGGGGUGAAGUGGGUGACCGUGUUUGAGGUCCGCCCAGCUGUUAUUGCCCCUAAUAUUCAACAGAUGUCUGGGAUCUCAAUCCGCUAAGUCCUCGCACAUGCGGAGUGGAGAAAAUCAAAGCAAAGAUCCUGCAGCCGGCU